AACAAAUUAAUUUGAAUGAUAAAAAUCUCAUAAACUUUUUUCUCUUCAUCCGGCAAUAGAACCACCGGUGUUAACUUCAGUGAUCCUACUCAAUCAACACUUUGGCUUCCAAGACUUGAAUCAAAUUUGGUCCAAUGACCGUUCCACACAAUGUACAAAGUCCAACCUUAUCUCUCACUCACUAAUUCACUCAAUUUUUGACAGGGUAUUCACUCCAUCAACAUGCAAAUGCUAUUUUACCAUAAGCUUGAAAAAAUUCUGAACGUCAAUCAAAGUAAAUACAUCGCACACAUUUUUGAGGUCUUGAGGGUUAUAACUUGGCUUAGGUAAAUGGUGGGAUAAUUUUGGGAAAAGCAGGCUAAAUUGGAGUUAGGUAUCCACUACUAUUCCUUGUUGAAAAAUUACCAUUAUUGGGACUCAAUUCAUCGUUAAUUAGGUACUUAGAGAACUUAUCCUUCAAUUUUUUUUCUUUCUUUUUGAAGAUGCN
rnacentral:lncRNA from 1 species